AUUGAACGCUGGCGGCAUGCUUUACACAUGCAAGUCGAACGGCAGCGCGGGCUUCGGCCUGGCGGCGAGUGGCGAACGGGUGAGUAAUGCAUCGGAACGCGCCCAGUAGUGGGGGAUAGCCCGGCGAAAGCCGGAUUAAUACCGCAUACGACCUGAGGGUGCAAGCGGGGGACCGAAAGGCCUCGCGCUAUUGGAGCGGCCGAUGUCGGAUUAGCUAGUUGGUGGGGUAAAGGCUUACCAAGGCGACGAUCCGUAGCUGGUCUGAGAGGACGACCAGCCACACUGGGACUGGGACACGGCCCAGACUCCUACGGGAGGCAGCAGUGGGGAAUUUUGGACAAUGGGGGCAACCCUGAUCCAGCCAUGCCGCGUGCGGGAAGAAGGCCUUCGGGUUGUAAACCGCUUUUGUUCGGGAAGAAAUCCUCUGGGCUAAUACCCCGGGGGGAUGACGGUACCGGAAGAAUAAGCACCGGCUAACUACGUG
rnacentral:rRNA from 1 species